rnacentral:rRNA from 1 species
GACGGAGGAGGCAAGCGUUAUCCGGAAUUAUUGGGCGUAAAGCGUCCGCAGGUGGCAUCUCAAGUCUGCUGUCAAAGCACAGGGCUUAACCCUGUUAAGGCAGUGGAAACUGAGAAGCUAGAGUGCAGUAGGGGUAGAGGGAAUUCCCGGUGUAGCGGUGAAAUGCGUAGAGUUCGGGAAGAACAUCGGUGGCGAAAGCGCUCUACUGGACUGCAACUGACACUCAGGGACGAAAGCUAGGGGAGCGAAUGGG